GACGAACGCUGGCGGCGUGCUUAACACAUGCAAGUCGAACGGAAAGGCCCUGCUUUUGUGGGUUUCUCGAGUGGCGCACGCGUGAGUAACACGUGAGUAACCUGCCCUUGUCUUUGUGAUAACUUCAGGAAACUGGGGCUAAUACCGGAUAGGAUCUCCUGCUGCAUGGUGUGGGUUGGAAAGUUUCGGCGGUUGUGGAUGGACUCGCGGCUUAUCAGCUUGUUGGUGGGGUAGUGGCUUACCAAGGCUUUGACGGGUAGCCGGCCUGAGAGGGUGAACGGCGACAUUGGGACUGAGAGACGGCGCAGAAGGCUACGGGAGGCAGUAGGGGGGAAUAUUGCAGAAUGGGCGGAAGCGUGAUGCAGCAGCGCCGCGUGCGGGAUGACGGCCUUCGGGUUGUAAACCGAUUUCGAAGGUGACGAAGAGGGAGUGACGGUAAUGGGUAAAGAAGCAACGGCUAACUACGUG
rnacentral:rRNA from 1 species